UACUAAUGAGGAGGAAGGACAUUCUAUGCCACCUGUCAACAGCAGAGGAACACCCCAUCAUGGAGCACACCAGGUUGAUGGCAUGUCUAUUGUCAGGCAACAGCUAUGAGCAAGAAGCAUUUCGGCAGCAGGAGUGUUGGCUAUGAUUCCGUCAACACGGCGAGGGGAACACUAUCUUCACUUGGGAUAGUAGUAGACGGCUGCAGAGCAGGUAGACCCGGUGUGUCAAGAACGGCAGGGGCAACAAGAGUGAGGGUGAGCUGAUGGUGACACUUCCUCCAGAGAGCAUCAGCUGCCCCCUCCUCUCCCCCACCUGCAAAACCAGCUUGGCCAUGGGCACCAGCUACCCCUUUGACACCUCUCUGCUUGGAAGACCACCAUCAUCAGAGAAGAUAAAAGACAGCCUAUUCUUCCACCCAACAAUGCACCACACAGAUAAGCCAGACUGGGAUCCCUUAGGCUCUAGUAAGGUAGAUAGGUAGGCUUUCCCUCCUUCUGGUCAUUAAUCAGAGGAGGAGAGUGUUGGUAGGUAGGAACCAUCCUCAGACUGAAAUGUGUGUUAAGGUUUCCAUUGUUGGUGUUAAGAGUGAAGUAUAUUGGUAAUUGCUGUGAUUAUUUGCUCACUAUCAAGUAAAUCCCCAGUAAGUGUUCUUCGCUAUUCCUUGCCCAAUAUUCCCCUCUUCCCCACUGUCAUGGAAAUCCACUGGGAGUCCUGUUUAAUAAGUUGUCAAUAAAAGAUAAAACUGCUUUUUUUUUUUUUUUUUACUUAUCAUUCAUUUAUUAUCUUUUAUUUUCAAAUAUGUGGCUGUAGUAACUGGGCACAUAGUUUUUUUUUCUGGUUUGAGGUACCAGUCUCUUCAGAGGUGUGGGGUUCAAAUGCCACCACUGCCUACAAAAUAUGUGCCCAGUUACUCUAGUAACAUACAUAAAAAUAAGAAAAUAAAUAAAUGAAUGAAUGAAUGAAAAAAAAAAAUUGAUCUUCUAUUGACAACUUAUUAGACAGGACUCCCAAUGGAUUUCUACAGUGGUGGCGAAGGGAGAAUAAUGGACAAGGAAUAGUGAACAUCACUUACUGGGAGUUUACUUGGUUGUGAGCAAGUAAUCACAGCAAUUACCAAUACAGUAGAGCCUCAGUUACGAAACACUUCCCUUUUCAAACAAAUCAGUUUUCGAACAAAAUUUUCAACUCAUAAUUGCUUAGGUUGCCAUAUCAUAAUUUGUUUCUCAAACAGAGUUACUUGAUUUCAAAUAUUAAAAGACAAGGCAAAAGCUACUGUUUAUAACUAAUUUGUAGUUUCUAUAAAUAUUUCCUUCAUUUUUAUAUAUUUGUAGGAGAGAGUUUGUAAGACAGUAAUUUAAUCUUUGAAGUAAGGUAAAUGUGACCCUGAUGAAGAGCCUUGAUUUAAACAAAUAGUUUUUAGCUAGCUCAGGGAGUAGUCCUGACUAACAAGCCACUUGUGGCCCUCUUGAUGACCCCACAGCACCAUCACUACUGCACAACUGUAUUUUCACUAGUAGUUUUUCAGAGCAGCAUGAUGUGUAAGUGUUAUAAUUACCUUUAUUUUGGGCUGAGUGGGCUGCUCCUCUCUGUGUCACUAUGUAAGGCUUC